UUUUCAUGAAACUACUCAAAAAGAAACUUGAACUCUGGGAACAAAUAGUGAUUAUUUUGAAAGUUCUCUCAUCUAUGGCACCCUAACUAUCAAAACAAUUUAGAUGUCUCUAUCUUCACAAAACUUUAAAAAAAUGUUGAUUCGUUUCUGUUUUUAUUUUUAUUUUUGAUUCUUUGUUUGUUUGUUUGUUUUUAGAAGGACACAACUCUUAAAACAGAAAAUGUAAAAGAAGAAAAUAAAAACCUCCCCAAACAACCAUGGGACAACCGAGGCAAUAAGGGAAAUGCUGGUUCCUUCCUCAGGAGUCUUCUGUGUCCUACUGUGAGGCAGUAUGAGGAGAGUAGGGCCAUUAAACUUGUUUGGACUGAGAGAAUCACUUUCUGCCUGGUUGGAGUCUAAGAAGAAACACUAUGGAGCUUCACGAAUGGAGUGGCCAGACUGCCCAGGGAACAUUGAUCUGUACCCCACAACAACCCAGAGCUCAGAACAUAAACAAAGACACAUUUGGAAGCUCCUGCGGAGACCGAUAUCCAAGAUCAACAGAUCCUGCAAUUUGCUACUUCCUCCUCCCCCCCUCUCCUCCGAGGGGGCUUAUGUCUGCCAGGGAGUUAUUGCUAUUCUCUUUUGGAAGGGAACCUGA
rnacentral:lncRNA from 1 species